rnacentral:rRNA from 1 species
CUUCGGGUUGUAAAGCCCUUUUAUGGGGGAAGAGACAAAGGACGGUACCCCAAGGAUAAGCGUCGGCUAACUACGUGCCAGCAGCCGCGGUAAAACGUAUGACGCAAGCGUUAUCCCGAAUUUACUGGGCGUAAAGAGCGUUGAGGCGGUUCCGUAAAGUUGGGCGUGAAAGCCCCGGGUUUAACCCGGGGAGGUCGUGCAAAACUGCGGGGACUUGAGGGCAAGCAGAGAGAGGCGGAAAAUCCCAGUGUAGCGGUGAAAUGCGUAGAUAUCGGGGAGGAACACCAAGUGGCGGAGGCGGACACCUGGAGCUGUUUCUGAACCGCUGAAGGCGAAAGCUAAGAGAGCGAACGGGAUUAGAAACCCCGGUAGGUCCUAGCCGUAAACGAUGGAUGCUGGGUUUGGGGGGUAUAGAUCCCCUCCGUGCCGAAGCUAACGCGUUAAGCAUCCCGCCUGGGGAUUACGGCCGCAAGGCUUAAACUCAAACGAAUUGACGGGGGCCCGCACAAGCAGCGGAGCGUGUGGUUUAAUUCGAUGCUACACGAAGAACCUUACCUGGGCUUGACAUGUAGGUAGUAGUGAAGCGAAAGCGGAACGACCCUUCGGGGAGCCUACACAGGUGCUGCAUGGCUGUCGUCAGUUCGUGCCGUGAGGUGUCGGGUUAAGUCCCGUAACGAACGCAACCCUUGCCCUUAGUUACAUGUGUCUAAGGGGACUGCCCGGGACAACUGGGAGGAAGGUGGGGAUGACGUCAAGUCAGCAUGGCCUUUAUGUCCAGGGCUACACACACGCUACAAUGGCCGGUACAAUGGGUCGCCAAGCCGUGAGGCGGAGCCAAUCCCCCAAAGCCGGUCUAAGUUCGGAUUGUGGGCUGCAACUCGCCCAUAUGAAGCUGGAGUUGCUAGUAACCGCGCGUCAGCAAUAGUGCGGUGAAUACGUUCCCGGGCCUUGUACACACCGCCCGUCACGUCAUGGAAGCUGGCAACACCUGAAGCCAGUGAGCUAAC